UACGGAGGAUGCAAGCGUUAUCCGGAUUCAUUGGGUUUAAAGGGUGCGCAGGCGGAUUGGUAAGUCAGUGGUGAAAUACAACAGCUUAACUGUUGCCCUGCCAUUGAUACUGUCAGUCUAGAGUAUAGUUGGAGUGGGCGGAAUGUGUCAUGUAGCGGUGAAAUGCUUAGAUAUGACACAGAACACCGAUCGCGAAGGCAGCUCACUAAACUAAAACUGACGCUCAUGCACGAAAGCGUGGGGAUCAAACAGG
rnacentral:rRNA from 1 species